rnacentral:rRNA from 1 species
AUUGAACGCUGGCGGCAUGCUUUACACAUGCAAGUCGAACGAGGGGCGAACGGUGGAGUAAUGCUUGGAAACCUGCCUGAUGGAGGGGGAAAACUACUGGAAACGGUAGCUAAUACCGCAUACCAUCAGAUGUGCCAAGAUGGGAUUGGCUUGUUGGGGGGGUAACGGCUCACCAAGGCGACGAUCCCUAGCUGGUCUGAGAGGAUGACCAGCCACACUGGAACUGAGACACGGUCCAGACUCCUACGGGAGGCAGCAGUGGGGAAUAUUGCACAAUGGGCGCAAGCCUGAUGCAGCCAUGCCGCGUGUGUGAAGAAGGCCUUCGGGUUGUAAAGUACUUUCAGCGGGGAGGCGUUACCCGCAGAAGAAGCACCGGCUAACUCCGUGCCAGCAGCCGCGGUAAUUC